GGGUUGUGAGGUUAAGCGACUAAGCGUACACGGUGGAUGCCCUGGCAGUCAGAGGCGAUGAAGGGCGUGCUAAUCUGCGAUAAGCGCCGGUAAGGUGAUAUGAACCGUUAUAACCGGCGAUACCCGAAUGGGGAAACCCAGUGUGACUCGUCACACUAUCAUUAACUGAAUCCAUAGGUUAAUGAGGCGAACCGGGGGAACUGAAACAUCUAAGUACCCCGAGGAAAAGAAAUCAACCGAGAUUCCCCCAGUAGCGGCGAGCGAACGGGGAGGAGCCCAGAGCCUGAAUCAGCAUGUGUGUUAGUGGAAGCGUCUGGAAAGGCGCGCGAUACAGGGUGACAGCCCCGUACACAAAAGCGCAUGUGCUGUGAGCUCGAUGAGUAGGGCGGGACACGUGGUAUCCUGUCUGAAUAUGGGGGGACCAUCCUCCAAGGCUAAAUACUCCUGACUGACCGAUAGUGAACCAGUACCGUGAGGGAAAGGCGAAAAGAACCCCGGCGAGGGGAGUGAAAAAGAACCUGAAACCGUGUACGUACAAGCAGUGGGAGCACAG
rnacentral:rRNA from 1 species